AUUAGCUAAAAGUGGUGCUUCAGGUUAAGAACAGUUUCAGGUUAAGUAUGGACCUCCGGAACGAAUUAAGUACUCAACCUGAGAUACCAAUGUAAAAUUUAAAAAAAAACCACAGGGAAACGAUUAUUGUAAAACUGUAGAAACAUUAAGGAGCUAAAAAUACAGCAACCAUAGUUAGUUAAGCAGCAGUAAACUUCCAAUACACCUGAAAACUUUCUGGAAUAAAACUACUCUUUGCCCUGGUGCCAAGAAGCCAUCAUGGAUGAAGUAGAGCCAAUUCCAGUGAGGAAGAAGUGCCAUGGAAUGUGUCACUUCUGAGAAGCCUCUUUUAUCUUCUAAUCUAAUAUAUCCCAAAGGGAAUAGUUUACCCUCUGAAUGCCUCAGAUCUUUGUGGCUGUGCAUAUUUCUCCAAAGCAUGUAACAUGUGGCGGGGGGUGGGGAGUCUUUGUAGCCGCAUUCGUCUCAAUCCUAUGCAGAAUUGGGUGCACAUAAGUCCAUUUAUUUUCAAUAUGUGCAUGAGCAAUGUUCAGAGCUUUUGACCUCGUUCUUCAAACUCAUUGCCAAAAAGAUCUGAGGCCUGACAGCGUUCUUUAGAAAACCUUGUUCUUUAGAAAACCUUGUUUACUGUUUGGGAUCAUUGGUUGCUCUAUGACCAGUCUGUUAAAAAGCAAUGGAAAAUUUAAGGUAAGAGGCCCUGCAUUUGCAAUUGCAUGAUUGCAGAUGGUUGCUUCAUGCAUGCUUUAUGGAUGCCACCAGAGGGCAAUGCAGUUCUUUCACAAACUUAAAAAGGUCUCUUGUUUAAGAUUCCGUGAGUUGAUAACACAAAUCUGACUUGCCCAUGGAAGUGUGAAGUUUUGAACUAUAUGCUGAACUUGGAAUUUCGCAGACGUAGGUAAGGAGCCAGGCAUUAAAAAUGGAUGUAAGGCCUAGAGCUUCAUAUAGGUGACUUUGGGAAAGGAAAACUUGAAAUACACAAUGUGACUUUCCUUGAUAGACAGUGGGGGAUACUCAGCAUCAAGGCCAGUGUAUUGUGUAAACACAGCAAUAACCCUACAGCCUCAGAUCUGUGUUCAGCCCUCAAGUCUGAAUGGGCAGAUCGUCAUCUUGGCCACAAGCCGAAAAUUUAUGUAAGAAUUUUAAAGAGCUACUCACUUUUAUUUUAAAAUAAGUCACACCGGGGUGGCUAACCUGUGGUCCUCCAGGUAAAGGUAAAGGGACCUCUGAUCAUUAGGUCCAGUCGUGACCGACUCUGGGGUUGCGGCGCUCAUCUUGCUUUAUUGGCCGAGGAAGUCAGCAUACAGCUUCCGGGUCAUGUGGCCAGCAUGACUAAGCCACUUCUGGCGAACCAGAGCAGCACACAGAAACGCCGUUUACCUUCCUGCCGGAGCGGUACCUAUUUAUCUACUUGCACUUUGAGGUGCUUUCAAACUGCUAGGUUGGCAGGAGCAGGGAUCGAGCAACGGGAGCUCACCCCGUCGCAGGGAUUCGAACCGCCGACCUUCUGAUCGGCAAGUCCUAGGCUCCGUGGUUUAACCCACAGCGCCACCCACGUUAGACUCCAAUUCCCAUCAGCCCCAACCAGCAUGACACAUGGUUAGGGGUGAUGGAAGUUGUAAUCCACAAACAUCAGGAGGGCUAAACUGCUUUAUAGUGCAUUAUCAACACAUAACAACCUAGUUGAUAUUUCAUUUAAAUUAUAUCAUGGCUUGUUUUAGAAAUACUGGUUGAUAAUCUUGCCACAGGCUGAAGGCAGUUCUUUUCCCAGGAAUAUCUUUCAUGGUUGCUCUGUUGUUGCUUCUCCCUUGUGGCUGAUCGUUUGCGUAAUGUCUUCAGUCCCACAGGACUGGAGUGGCUUAUCGUGCAUAUUUGAACCACUGACCCAGAGAAGGCUGUGCUAGUACUUGACACAGCAAAGCAUUGCACCAUACUAGAACAGCAUUAACAAUAUGUAAAUGUUUUGUUCCCAAGCUUAGGCAACUAAAACCUGCCAAAAGAGAAGCAAUGCAAUUUUUUUUGUUUUUGUUUUUUGGCGAGGGAUUUAAAUACUCCUCUGUAUAGAAUAGUAUUCAUAAAUAAUCCUUGCACACAGAAACGCACCCCUUUUUUUGUUUCCAUGCAAAAGCAUUUCAUCUCUCGUGUAUGUGUUUCUGUAACUAUUUUUGUAAAGCUUUGCUUAAGUUGUUGCUUCAGUUUUCUGUACGCUGCUCAAGAGAUAUUUUGAUUAUAGUAAGCGGUAUAGAAAUUAAAUAAUCAAGAUGCAGGGAGCCUGUAGCCCUCCAGAUGUUUAAGACUAUACCUCCCAUUAUCCCUGACCUUCCGUCAUUCAUGAUAGGAGUCCAGAAACAGCUGAGAGGCUGCAGGUUCCUCAGCCUUGCCUUUUGUGAACUGCUUGCACUCUAAAAAUGAGUGCAGCCUGGUCACAAGUUUACCAUCUCAUCUGUGCUUUGGUGAUAACCAUAUCUUAAGUUUCAAUACCUUUUCCCCUCUUGAUUUGGAUCUACCUGACACUGGUGUGGAAUCUCUCUGCCUUGACACCUGGGUAAGACAUUGAUCUGUUUGGCAGGAGAAAAGGUAUGCCUAUUCCACAUUAUUGCAACCUGCUUCGCUUUUUGCCUACACCUAAAUUGACAAAUCGGGUACAUGUGCAGCUAAAUGUAUGAUAAAUUAAGCAAAUGUAAAACUGGUUCUUCUAAGUGAUGAUGCAUGUGGAACACUUGACUGCUCAGACUUUGGGGGGGGUUGUAUUUGGAAAAAUAAUGAAUAGACACUGUCAAUCUUCAUAUUAUUUGCGUCACCUGUGCCCAUCAACUGCAUAUGACUUCUUCCAAGCAAUCUGAACACUGCAGCAGCACCGCCUGUUCAGUUCUUACUUAUCCGCAGUUUCCUCGGCAACCAACAAGCAAUCCCAGAAACAGAUUCCACACAAUGGCAAGAAACCAAAAAAAAACCCUCCUAAGCAACACUUCCAGUUCUUUGGCAGCUCUAUUUUUAAUGUUAGAAAUGAAAACUCUCUUAAGAUACCAUUCUUUGAAGUACCAUAGUGGAGAACACAUAAUACUAAAAAGAGCCAAUGGCAGUGGGGUGGGAUGUUAUCUCUAAUGCCAGUCCUUCUUAAGAGGACAGAGGAACCUAUCGUGCAAGAAAAAGGCAUUUUUUUGUAUUUGUAAAUAGCAUGAAAAUGAACUCCCUCCUCUGCUGCCAUGCUUUAUAAAGUAGAUUCCAUCUGUGGUUUUUAUCCUUGGUUCCUGAUUUACUAACGUUUUAGGUCGGAAAAAGGUUGGCCACAAAAGGUCAGGUUGCCCUGCCCCGCCCCUUCCUUAGUUCUCAUGUGUCUAAUUUUCUGACACUUUUUGAGGCUGGAACAGGAACAGUCCUAAGUUCUUUUCUGCAAACUAUGAAGAUGAAUAUAUUCUUGAUGUGCAAAUAUUUGAUGUCAUUUCAAUAGAUAUUUCACAUUACAGUGGUACCUCUGGUUAUGUACUUAAUUCGUUCCGGAGGUCCGUUCUUAACCUGAAAAUGUUCUUAACCUGAAGCACCACUUUAGUUAAUGGGGCCUCCCGCUGCUGCUGUGCCGCUGGAGCACAAUUUCUGUUCUCAUCCUGAAGCAAAGUUCUUAACCUGAAGCACUAUUUCUGGGUUAGCGGAGUCUGUAACCUGAAGCGUUUGUAACUUGAGGUACCACUGUAGUUGACUUCGGCAGAUCUACUGAAUUAGUCUCUUCUUGUUUGCGAACUGUUUCCAUAACAGCUGUUAAUUAUAAGAAUAAUUAUUUAACAUAAUUUGUGCCUGUGUUUGUUUUUACACCCUUCCUUCCUUCCUUCCUUGUGACACAACUACUUAGAUUGUAAGUGACCAUGGACAUUCUUAUUUUAUUUGACUGAAUGUAAGCUGGGAGCCUUUGUGGGCGAAGAACUGAGUAAAAUGCCUAUAGUAAUAAUUCAUUCAUUUACAUGUGCAGUAAGAUACCAUGUAAUGUGCAGCCUGGCAUUUCCCACACAGGCAUAAGUAAGUUUAUUUACAUGCCACAUUUCCCACAAAUUGUGCUUGAAGUGCUUCACAUAAUUUAGAAAAUUCAAGUACAUCAGUAGGCGUAAUACAUAAUUUUACCUCUACAGUGUAAUGUUUGACUGUUCAACACCAAUUCAUUUCAAAGUACAAAAAAUGGUUAAAUGAGUAUAAAACGGGUAGAUAACAAAGUAGGUAUCCUCCAGAAUUAGACUAUAACAUCCAUCAGCCCCAGCCAGCAUGGCCAAUAAUCAGGAAUGAUGGGAAUUGUAGUAAAACAAUAUCUGUGGGGUGGGGUGGGCCACUAUGUUGGGUACUCCGGUAUAAAACAUGGCAGUAGGUCAGUUAACAAUGCCCAAUACCAACAGCAUCCACAUUAUAUGCACCCUAAGUCAUCCAUUCAGUUCAUAUUAAGAAUGCUGCAAAUAAGAGACAGCCCAAAUCAAUUACCCUUAGCAACAGUUACCAACCAAACAAGGCCAAAUGUACUGCUGAACAACGAAAAGGCCCACUGUUGUCCUAGAUCAGGGUUUCCCAAACUUGUGUCUCUAGCUGUUCUUUGACUACAAUUCCCAUCACCCCUGACCACUGGUCCUGCUAGUGAGGGAUGAUGGGAGUUGUAGUCCCAAAACAGCUGCCCAAGAGGAGAGGUUCCAUCAACAGAGAGACAUCCUCUUCUCAGCAAAGACCCUUGCCUUGAGCAACUGCUGAGGUAUGUUUUGAGCUAUUAAUAAGCCUAUUGUAGAACGCCAUUUGAGCUCAAAGAACUAAACUUCAGUUUUAAAACCAACAGAGGGCAAAUGAUUGUAGGACAAGCAAGUUCAGCCAGAAGAACAGGAGUUUUCAGCAAUAUGUCGUGGUGGGAGGAGCCUUCAGCCACAAUCCCUGGUAUGAGGCAAGUGUGCCCCUCGUCUUUGAAAGAAAGACGCUUGUGCAGUAACCAUGAGGCAUAAUUGCGUUUCGAAGGAAGAUUUUGUUCUGCUCAUGAGGCUCUUGUUUCUGCCAUGCCUGACAGGAAUCACUUCUAGAAGAAAGUGGUAUUUUUAGGUUGAGGUAUAAUGAGAUCCUUCCUUGCUUUCGGCAUAAUUGUUAAGAAAUAUACAUUUUGUGUGUGUGUACAAAAUUGGAUAGAAGUGCUGACAGGCUGGCGUUCAUAGCUGCUGACACCAACUUUCUGAGCAUAGGCCAUACACAUUCUGCUGACACCAACACUCUCCUUGGGAACAGCUGGCAAUGCCUGCUGAUCCCUUCCCUCAGAGCACAUCCCAGCCAUUGACUAUGUAGAUGGUUUUAAAGUAUCACCCCUAAUUUAUUCAUUACCUGAAGUAGUGAAAAUCUUAAGGCAAAAUGUCCCUACAUCUCUUAACUGCAUUCCUAAGCACUUUCCCCUGCUCUUAACAUGCCAACAUCGCUGUGAUGCGGGGAAGAAUUACCAUGUACAAUCCUUCCAGUUAGUGUGGUUGAUUCACAAUAUAGGUUUGUAUUGUGACUCUAUUUACACAUGAGUUAUAUUCAUUGGACUGAAUAAUUCCAUUUAAAAACUGGUCCAAUGUUGAAACCUUAUGGAUGGGGCACAACAGUUCUGGACUUAAUUUGGUUGCCUAAUAUGCAGCAAACGAGAAUAAACAAACAUGCUGUGAUCAAGUGAAGGCCUUUUCAAUCAGCCUUGAUUUCAUUAGAUGGGUUUAGAGGUAGAAUACAGAUUAGUAUUAACCUGCCCUUGCCUUAAUUUAAGGCCAAACUUAUAAUUUGCUGUAUUAUUCUACAAUAAAUGGAAAUUGAGUAUUUUGGUCCCCCCCCCCCCCCGUGUAGUCCACACUCAGUCUAAAUCUAUUGCAUUUAAUAUUUUAUUUUUAUUUUUAUUUUUCCUCUGAAAAGUGCUUCUUGAGAUACUGGUUUCGUUCCAAAAAUAAAAACUCAUUGCAAAUUGAUUCUGCGUUACCCUACAGAGUGUACAUUAGAAAGCAAAUGAAAACAGAUGUAGGCAGAUGUAUUCACACCUGCUCAGUGACAUGGAUGGGCAUAUACCAAGAUCACAACCGCAAUGUCCUUCAUUCACUAGGGACAUGUGCAGGGAGGAAAAAAGGCAUAGGUGUUCAAAUGCAUAUCAAGUAGCCAUACCUACCCACCCAGUGGAGCUGAAAUGGAUGUGCUCUCUAUGUAUUAUCCAGGUGCUUUUCGUUUACCGAAAGAAAAUUGUAAAUGGCUGAAGUUUGAGGACCCUACUUACUAUUCUGCAGAGGACAAUGUCCUAGAACGACUACAUUAUAGGUCUACUUCCCUGUGAAUUUUGCCAUGAAAAAUGCAUCUGGGGUGUAAUUUCUUCCCCAAAGGUCUGGGUUAGUGUUAAUCCCAAAGUAAAAUACUGCUUUAAAACGUUACUAUACUUGUAUCUUGCUGAAGUUUUUUUAAUCCACACACACAUACAGCCUUCAAUUUCAUUCAUGAAGGUACCAUACCUUUUCCUCAAUGUUUGCUCCCUUGAGUCGAAUGAGAUUGAUUCUUCUCACCUUGCGUUGAGCAAUACUUUUAAGUAAUGGUAACUGCAGGGAUUUGGUUUCUAUUCCCC